CUUACCAUGCAGUCGAACGGCAGCACGGGAGCAAUCCUGGUGGCGAGUGGCGAACGGGUGAGUAAUACAUCGGAACGUGUCCUGGAGUGGGGGAUAGCCCGGCGAAAGCCGGAUUAAUACCGCAUACGCUCUGAGGAGGAAAGGGGGGGAUCUUAGGACCUCUCGCUCAAGGGGCGGCCGAUGGCAGAUUAGCUAGUUGGUGGGGUAAAGGCCUACCAAGGCGACGAUCUGUAGCUGGUCUGAGAGGACGACCAGCCACACUGGGACUGAGACACGGCCCAGACUCCUACGGGAGGCAGCAGUGGGGAAUUUUGGACAAUGGGCGCAAGCCUGAUCCAGCAAUGCCGCGUGUGUGAAGAAGGCCUUCGGGUUGUAAAGCACUUUUGUCCGGAAAGAAAACACGCCUGUUAAUACCGGGUGUGGAUGACGGUACCGGAAGAAUAAGCACCGGCUAACUACGUGCCAGCAGCCGCGGUAAUACGUAGGGUGCAAGCGUUAAUCGGAAUUACUGGGCGUAAAGCGUGCGCAGGCGGUUCGUUAAGACAGAUGUGAAAUCCCCGGGCUUAACCUGGGAACUGCAUUUGUGACUGGCGGACUCGAGUAUGGCAGAGGGGGGUAGAAUUCCACGUGUAGCAGUGAAAUGCGUAGAGAUGUGGAGGAAUACCGAUGGCGAAGGCAGCCCCCUGGGCCAAUACUGACGCUCAUGCACGAAAGCGUGGGGAGCAAACAGGAUUAGAUACCCUGGUAGUCCACGCCCUAAACGAUGUCAACUGGUUGUCGGGUCUUCAUUGACUUGGUAACGAAGCUAACGCGUGAAGUUGACCGCCUGGGGAGUACGGUCGCAAGAUUAAAC
rnacentral:rRNA from 1 species